rnacentral:rRNA from 1 species
UACGUAGGGUGCGAGCGUUAAUCGGAAUUACUGGGCGUAAAGCGUGCGCAGGCGGUUUUGUAAGCCAGAUGUGAAAGCCCCGGGCUCAACCUGGGAAUGGCAUUUGGGACUGCAAGGCUUGAGUGCGGCAGAGGAGACUGGAAUUCCUGGUGUAGCAGUGAAAUGCGUAGAUAUCAGGAGGAAUACCGAUGGCGAAGGCAGCCCCCUGGGAUAACACUGACGCUCAUGCACGAAAGCGUGGGGAGCAAACAGG